rnacentral:misc_RNA from 1 species
UCCCUCAUGGUACUUGUUUGCUAUCGGUCUCAAAUUCAUGUUUAGCUUGAGAUGAAAUUUACCACCCACUUUGCGCUCCAUUCCCAAGGAACGUGACUCUGCACAGCGUGCCGUACACACGGGGCUGCAAAUUAAAGACGGGACUCUCACCCUCUGUGGUGCGCUCUUCCAAGCGACUUGUAUUUGCGCCCGCGUUGGCAGCGCAGUUACAAAUUACAAUUCAAGGCCGCGGGCCCUGAUUUCCACUUUGAGCUGCUCCGAGUUCAUUCGCCAUUACUCACGGAAUCCUCUUUAGUUUCUUAUCACUCCGCUUACUUAUAUGCUUAAAUUCGGCGGGUUUACUUACCCAAUUUCAUUUCUGAAAUUCUCGGCAUGCACCGCGGCUGCAAAUGAUACAAUGCAUAACUUCAAAUCGCGCGAGCGCAAAUUCUAGUAGUUAUAGCAUCGAUCCAGCGUACGCAGGUAAGCUUGACACGCGAUGCUGGUCAACAGCUCGUUGGCAAGCAAGGAAUCUCACAGCAAGUUGGAACAACGCUUGAAGAAUCUGAAAUGGGCAUGCUGUCAACAGGGGUUGGCAGCGCAACUUGCGUUCAACAUUCUAUUGGUUCACGGAAUUCUG